rnacentral:rRNA from 1 species
UACGUAGGGUCCGAGCGUUGUCCGGAAUUAUUGGGCGUAAAGGGCUCGUAGGCGGUCUGUUGCGUCGGGAGUGAAAACUUACAGCUUAACUGUGAGCGUGCUUUCGAUACGGGCAGACUUGAGCCAUUCAGGGGAGAACGGAAUUCCUGGUGUAGCGGUGAAAUGCGCAGAUAUCAGGAGGAACACCGGUGGCGAAGGCGGUUCUCUGGGAAUGUCCUGACGCUGAGGAGCGAAAGUGUGGGGAGCGAACAGG